UUCGCCCUUAGAGUUUGAUCCUGGCUCAGAGCGAACGCUGGCGGCAGGCUUAACACAUGCAAGUCGAGCGCAUCCUUCGGGAUGAGUGGCAGACGGGUGAGUAACACGUGGGAACGUGCCCUCCGGUCUGGGAUAACCCCGGGAAACUAGGGCUAAUACCGGAUACGUGCUUUGGCAGAAAGGUUUACUGCCGGAGGAUCGGCCCGCGUCUGAUUAGCUAGUUGGUGGGGUAACGGCCUACCAAGGCGACGAUCAGUAGCUGGUCUGAGAGGAUGAUCAGCCACACUGGGACUGAGACACGGCCCAGACUCCUACGGGAGGCAGCAGAAGGG
rnacentral:rRNA from 1 species